rnacentral:rRNA from 1 species
GACGAACGCUGGCGGCGUGCCUAAUACAUGCAAGUAGGACGCAGUUGCGAACGGGUGAGUAACGCGUAGGUAACUACCUAUUAGAGGGGGAUAACUAUCGGAAACGAUAGCUAAUACCGCAUACAAGAAGAUGGACCUGCGUUGUAUUAGCUAGUCGGUAGGGUAAUGGCCUACCUAGGCAAGGAUAAGUAGCCGGACUGAGAGGGUGAUCGGCCACAUUGGGACUGAGACACGGCCCAGAUUCCUACGGGAGGCAGCAGUAGGGAAUCUUCGGCAAUGGAGGAAAGCCUGACCGAGCAACGCCGCGUGAGUGAAGAAGGUUGUCGGAUCGUAAAGCUCUGUUGUUAGGGAAGCGGUACUUGACCAGAAAGGUACGGCUAACUACGUGCCAGCCGCCGCGGUAAUAC